GGGUGGGUGGCAGAGUGGUUGAAUGCACCGGUCUUGAAAACCGGCAUAGGUGAAAGUCUAUCGGGGGUUCGAAUCCCUCCCCGCCCGCCA
rnacentral:tRNA from 2 species